GAUGAACGCUGGCGGCGUGCUUAACACAUGCAAGUCGAACGGAAAGGCCCUGCUCUUGCGGGGUGCUCGAGUGGCGCACGCGUGUGUAACACGCGAGUAUCAUGCCCCUGUCUUUGGGAUAACUCCACGGAACUGGGGCUAAUACCGGAUAGGAGCUCCUGCUCCACGGUGGGGGUUGGAAAGAUUCGGCGGUUGUGGAUGGACUAGCGGCACAUCAGCCUGUUGGUGUGGUUGUGGCUUACAAAGUGUAAGACGGGUAGCCGGCGUGAGAGGGUGACCGGCGACAUUGGGACUAAGGUACGGCCCAGACUCCUACGGGAGGCAGCAGGGGGAAAUAUUACGCAGUGGGCGGGAGCCUGAUGCAACAGCGCCGCGUGCGGGAUGACGUGCUUCGGGGUAUAAACCGCUGUCGCCUGAGACGAAGCGUGAGUGACGGUAAUGGGUAAAGAAGCACCGGCUAACUACGUG
rnacentral:rRNA from 1 species